rnacentral:rRNA from 1 species
UACGUAGGGUGCGAGCGUUAAUCGGAAUUACUGGGCGUAAAGCGUGCGCAGGCGGUUGUGCAAGACCGAUGUGAAAUCCCCGGGCUCAACCUGGGAAUGGCAUUGGUGACUGCACGGCUAGAGUGUGUCAGAGGGGGGUAGAAUUCCACGUGUAGCAGUGAAAUGCGUAGAGAUGUGGAGGAAUACCGAUGGCGAAGGCAGCCCCCUGGGUCAAGACUGACGCUCAUGCACGAAAGCGUGGGGAGCAAACAGG